UGCGUAGGCGGACUAAUAAGUCAGUGGUGAAAUCCCGCAGCUCAACUGUGGAACUGUCAUUGAUACUGGUUUUCUUGAAUUUAGUUGAGGUAGGCGGAAUGUGUAAUGUAGCGGUGAAAUGCUUAGAUAUUACACAGAACACCGAUUGCGAAGGCAGCUUACUAAACUAUGAUUGACGCUGAGGUACGAAAGCGUGGGGAGCGAACAGGAUUAGAUACCCUGGUAGUCC
rnacentral:rRNA from 1 species